UUUAUAUUAACGUGUCAUUCAUCAUGAGAGGCUGUUUUCAUUCACAGUAUCUGCCGCUGGUGCUUGGUGCAACAAAGUGUCCAAAUCUGCUCUGCAAGAUGUUUUGGAAAGUCUUUCCCACCGUGUCCAACCUUCUGAGUGCAUUCAUCAAGAAGAGCUCCUGAGGUUCACUGACACUUUUGGGUGUUUGUUUUUCACCUAUUCUUUCCAGGUUGGAAAGGCUGAUAGUCAAUCAAUGGAGUCUGAGCAGUCAAUGAUUCAAAUGUUCCUGCAAAGACUCAGUGUGGUUCAUGCUCAG